GACGAACGCUGGCGGCGUGCCUAAUACAUGCAAGUAGAGCGCUGAAGGAGGAGCUUGCUUCUCUGGAUGAGUUGCGAACGGGUGAGUAACGCGUAGGUAACCUGCCUGGUAGCGGGGGAUAACUAUUGGAAACGAUAGCUAAUACCGCAUAAGAGUAGAUGUCGCAUGACAUUUGCUUAAAAGGUGCAAUUGCAUCACUACCAGAUGGACCUGCGUUGUAUUAGCUAGUUGGUGAGGUAACGGCUCACCAAGGCAACGAUACAUAGCCGACCUGAGAGGGGGAUCGGCCACACUGGGACUGAGACACGGCCCAGACUCCUACGGGAGGCAGCAGUAGGGAAUCUUCGGCAAUGGACGGAAGUCUGACCGAGCAACGCCGCGUGAGUGAAGAAGGUUUUCGGAUCGUAAAGCUCUGUUGUAAGAGAAGAACGAGUGUGAGAGUGGAAAGUUCACACUGUGACGGUAUCUUACCAGAAAGGGACGGCUAACUACGUG
rnacentral:rRNA from 1 species